rnacentral:tRNA from 1 species
GCCCCGUUCGUCUAGCCUGGUCCAGGACACCAGCCUUUCACGCUGGCGACACGGGUUCAAAUCCCGUACGGGGUA